rnacentral:rRNA from 1 species
CACGGGGGGAGCAAGCGUUGUUCGGAUUCAUUGGGCGUAAAGGGCUCGUAGGUGGCUUUGUAAGUCGGAGGUGAAAUCCCACGGCUCAACCGUGGACACGCCUUCGAAACUGUGAAGCUUGAGGCUGGGAGAGGGAUGCGGAAUUCCAGGUGUAGCGGUGAAAUGCGUAGAUAUCUGGAGGAACACCGGUGGCGAAGGCGGCAUCCUGGACCGAGAUUGACGCUGAGGCGCGAAAGCCAGGGGAGCAAACGGG